rnacentral:rRNA from 1 species
CAGCCGUAAACUAUGCGCGUUAGGUGUACUGGUGACCACGAGUCACCGGGGUGCCGAAGGGAAACCGUGAAACGUGCCGCCUGGGAAGUACGGUCGCAAGGCUGAAACUUAAAGGAAUUGGCGGGGGGAGCACCACAACGGGUGGAGCCUGCGGUUUAAUUGGACUCAACGCCGGGAAGCUCACCGGAUAGGACAGCAGAAUGAUUGCCGGGCUGAAGACCCUGCAUGACUAGCUGAGAGGUGGUGCAUGGCGUCAGUGACU